AUGACUCCACCAGACCAUCAGCCUCCUCAGCCUCUCCUUCUCCUCACUCAUCUGUCUAAGUCUCUACUGCUUGAAUCUCUUUUUUUGUGGUAUAUUUGAUAUUUUUCGGGGUCCCUUGAAUCAUUGUGUUACUGUGUGGUCUUUUUGUUUUAGCUCUGCCUUUCACACAACUUUUAAAUUGUGUUUUGUUUUAUUUUGGGGGGAUUUGUUCUUAUUUUAGGCAUAUGAACUAAAGAUAUUUUUUUAUUAAAGUGGUUUGUAAUGUUAUCACACAGUCUUAUACAAACACAUAGUUGGAUAUAGUUAUUUGUGUCACUAUUACUUGUGUUAUGGGGGCAGGCCAAUCACACACACAACGCCCUGAUACAAUUGACAUGUUCUCAUUUCACACCAGAAGAGGAAGUCUAAUGUCUCAGUGAAGGACUGCAUUAAUAUGUUCCUGGUGUAUUUCUUAUUAACUUUCUACUCUGAACAAAGGCUUGAAGGACAAUGAGGAUCCUUCCAAUCAGCUGUCUCAUUCUUCUUGUGACAGCUGUUUUCUGUUACUCAAACCGUUAUGCAGAAAUAGAAUCAACCUCCCUGAAUGUCUUUGUGGGGACAUGUGUGGAGAUCAAAUGUAAAGUCACUAGAGAAUUACCUGAUGAAGAUGCUCUGUGGUUCUGGAUGAAGGAUGGACAAUGGGAUGGAAGUAAAAUUGAUUACAGUGGCACCAUUGUUUACAGUAACAAGCCCAGAGAACUCCCCAUCAGUCCACAGUUUAGAGGCCGAGUCACUUACACUGGAUCUGCACGAUUAGAGAAUACAGCCUCAUAUAAUAAUCCAUCAUGCAGUGUUAGAAUCUGUGAUCUGACAGAACAGGACAGUGGAAAGUAUUUUUUCAGAUAUAUCUCUAAGGAGCGGGACUUUAAAUGGAGUACAUGGAAUAAUGCUGUCAUUUCAG